CUAGGAUAUUGUUUUCUGCUUGCUUGUCUGGUAUUAAUCCCUGCUUUUCUUGGUUUGGGCUGUUGGAUGGAUGUUUCCUCAUAAUUUUUUCUCUCUCUUAAAUGGUGGCUGGGAAAUUCUAUAAUUUGAAAUUCCACUUGUCUGAAAAUUGCCAAGAAUGAGGAAACACUGCUUGCUAUACAGCAAAGAGUAUUCUGAACUACUUCAAAGUAUAUAUAAAUCAUCAUAAACAAUAAUACGUGAAUUAGGCAUCCAUGAAUAAUAUCCAACAUAUAUCAAUUAAUGAAAUGGAAUAAUCUAUUUAAUGAUAUCAACAUCUCUGUACAAUUAUUGGCUACAAUCAAACAUUAUGAUUAAUGAAACUCUCACUGACACUGAUUGGGCUACAUAAUGUUCUAAGCCAUAAUGUAAUUGGUUUUUUUUAUUAGCAUAUUGUGUAAACCCAGCUCUUAAGAUUUGU